GAUGAACGCUAGCGGGAGGCUUAAUACAUGCAAGUUGAGCGGUAAGUUAUUGCUAGCAAUAUUGAUGACCUAGAGCGGCGCACGGGUGAGUAACGCGUACAUAACCUACCCUGUACUGGGGGAUAGCCUUGGGAAACUGAGAUUAAUACCCCAUAGUAUUGCAGGACUGCCUGGUUUUGCAAUUAAAGUUCCGGCGGUACAGGAUGGAUGUGCGUCUGAUUAGCUAGUUGGUAGGGUAACGGCCUACCAAGGCGAUGAUCAGUAGGGGGCGUGAGAGCGUGGACCCCCACACGGGUACUGAGACACGGACCCGAGUCCGACGGGAGGCAGCAGUAAGGAAUAUUGGUCAAUGGAGGAAACUCUGAACCAGCCAUCCCGCGUGAAGGAUGAAGGUGCUCUGCCUUGUAAACUUCAUUUGUCUGGGGCGAAAACGCUCGAUUUGUCGAGAACUGACGGUACCAGAAGAAUAAGCACCGGCUAACUCCGUGCCAGCAGCCGCAGUAACAC
rnacentral:rRNA from 1 species